rnacentral:lncRNA from 1 species
CAUGAAUCUGCACAUGGGGAGGCUUCAGAGGACAACUGAGACAAGAAGCAGGAAGCUGAGAAAGGAGGACACCUCCCACACACACAUCUAGCAAAAGCUGGACAUUUCUGGUCAGUCAUCCUUAUGCAAAGACUUUCUGGAAGGAGCAGUUAUUCUUGGUAAGAAAUGAUUCAUGGCACCUGUCACAGUCCUAGGUAGUGA